AAGCAGGAUAAAACUAUAGUGGACAUUACUUUAUUGUCAUUGCAUUAGCAACGGCAUGGCUUUCACUUUUCCUAAGUGCCAACCGACCUACACUUUCCUCCCUGAGAAAUGCUGUGACAAGGAAAACCGUGACCAGCCUUGGGCACUGAAGAAAGAGGUGGGAUGAGAACUGUGCUCUUGUUCUACUGGGCGGGCGUCUAGACAAUGCCUUCUACACGUUAAGUGGACGAUGAAGAGCUGUUGAAUAAAUAUGUGAACAGAGGAGAAAGAUGCUGCUUGCAUGGUGCUUACAGAGAGGCCCUGCGCAUCGUUUCAGAACUUUUAACAUGAGAAAGAGAAAACAAUCCUUUCUGAAUACCGACACUGAAGGGAUGUUCUCUGUGUUGAGUGUUUGAAGUGUUUGUCAACUUCAUAGCUAAAGGGAGGGGUCUUCAUUCUUUUAAACAAUAUAAUUUUGUUAAUUCUUUUGCUUUCCUACUUAUUUUUGGCUCUUAUCUGCUUUUUAAGUCAAACAGAAAUAAGAUGAAAUGAUUACUCCUAUAAUUUUGGGGGGUGAUAAAGUUUAUUAAAGUAUCAAAGUUAGUAUAUAAUUCAUUCAUUUCAUGAAAAUGAAACUAAGCUGCAAGUUUUUUUUUGAAAAUAAGGCCAUAUAUAUAUACAUUACCCAAUGCUGUGACUUGAAUAUAUAGCCACAUCCAAUAUAGCACAUGUGCUCUUAGAGAUAGCCUUUUUCACCUAAGAGACAGUAAUGAAAGGAUUCUGGACUUGCAGAUAGUAAUCAAAGGAAACACAGGUUGGAUCAUAGCUGUCUCUGGGAAAAAGGGGAGCCAAUUUCUGAAAUACUUCAGGGCCAUUCUAGGAUUUUAGGAUAUAUAAAGGGGAAAAAUUAGACCUGUAAAUUGAAAAAAAUUUUUAUUUAUUAAUUUUUAUUUAUUAGUUAUUAAUUUUUAAAUUUUUGAGGGGAGGUAAUUAGGUUUACUAAUUUUUAUUUAUUUAUUUAUUUUUUAAUAGAGGUACUGGGGAUUAAACCCAGGACUUCAUGCACGCGAAACACAUCCUCUACCACUGAGCUAUACCCUCCCCCAGGCCUAUAAAUUUCUGAAGCUAAUUUAAUGACAGGAAACUUAAAAAAAACACACACAAUAAAAUUUCCUUAUCUAUAUUCUUCAGUUGCCAUAGGCAACUCAUUUUGUUGUUUCUUUCUUUUCUUUUUCUUUUUUAAUCAGUCAUUUUUUUGAGGGG